GACGAACGCUGGCGGCGUGCUUAACACAUGCAAGUCGAACGGGCCCGCUCUCUUUUUUGGGGGUGGGUUGAGUGGCGAACGGGUGAGUAUCACGUGAGUAACCUGCCCCCUGCUCCUGGAUAACUGCUUGAAAGGGCGGCUAAUACGGGGUGUGCCGGCUGGUCCGCAUGGGCCUGGUCGGGAUAGUUUCAUCUUCGGGUGUUUCGGUGGGGGAUGGGCUCGCGGGCUAUCAGCUUGUUGGUGGGGUUAUGGCCCACCCAGGCGGUGACGGGUAGGCGGCCUGAGAGGGUGGGCGGCGACACUGGGACUGAGACACGGCCCAGACUACUGCGGGAGGCAGCAGUGGGGGGUAUUGCAAAAUGGGAGGAAGCCUGAUGCAGCGACGUCGCGUGAGGGAUGGAGGCCUUCGGGUUGUGAACCUCUUUCUCCGGUGGUGAAGGCCCUGUCCGUUGCGGCGGGGUUGACGGUAGCCGGGGAUGAAGCGCCGGCUAACUACGUG
rnacentral:rRNA from 1 species